rnacentral:rRNA from 1 species
GAAGGCACAGACAGCCAGGAUGUUGGCUUAGAAGCAGCCAUCAUUUAAAGAAAGCGUAAUAGCUCACUGGUCGAGUCGGCCUGCGCGGAAGAUGUAACGGGGCUAAACCAUGCACCGAAGCUGCGGCAGCGACACUAUGUGUUGUUGGGUAGGGGAGCGUUCUGUAAGCCGUUGAAGGUGGCCUGUGAGGGUUGCUGGAGGUAUCAGAAGUGCGAAUGCUGACAUAAGUAACGAUAAAGCGGGUGAAAAGCCCGCUCGCCGGAAGACCAAGGGUUCCUGUCCAACGUUAAUCGGGGCAGGGUGAGUCGACCCCUAAGGCGAGGCCGAAAGGCGUAGUCGAUGGGAAACAGGUUAAUAUUCCUGUACUCGGUGUUACUGCGAAGGGGGGACGGAGAAGGCUAUGUUAGCCGGGCGACGGUUGUCCCGGUUUAAGCAUGUAGGCGGAACGAUUAGGUAAAUCCGGUCGUUUAUUCAACGCUGAGGUGUGACGACGAGGCACU